rnacentral:rRNA from 1 species
ACAUCGCCUCUUGAUCAAUUAUAAGAGGUCAAGCCUGCCCAGUGACAUUGUUCAACGGCCGCGGUAUCCUAACCGUGCGAAGGUAGCGUAAUCACUUGUCCUUUAAAUAAGGACUAGUAUGAACGGCUUCACGAAGACUAUACUGUCUCCUUAAUCUAAUCAAUUAAACUAAUCUCCCCGUGAAGAAGCGGGGAUUCGUCUAUAAGACGAGAAGACCCUAUGGAGCUUUAAACAUCUAAGACACUUGAUUCUAUCUACUAAACUUCAUGCAACCUAUCAUUUUGUCUUAAGUUUUAGGUUGGGGUGACCACGGAGAAAAAUUAAACCUCCACAUAGAAAGAAAAUUCUUUUCUAAGCAAAAAGCCACAUCUUAACGCAUCAAUAAAUUGACUUAAAUUGACCCAAUUUCUUGCUCAACGAACCAAGUUACCCUAGGGAUAACAGCGCAAUCCGCUUUAAGAGCUCCUAUCGACAAGCGGGCUUACGACCUCGAUGUUGGAUCA